rnacentral:misc_RNA from 1 species
GGUGGAGGAUAGUCCCACCAAGCAUUUGGUGGACAAUAUGGAAGGAGAGGAAUUCUAGGUGUUUUGAGAGCAUCGAGAACAGCAUGCAACAGAUUAAGCUUAAUUGGAUCUUGCUACUGUGUUUUUGGUGUAAUUAGUUACUUUUAAAUGAUCCUGUCUCUAUCAUUGAUGUCUCAGACUCAUUAUAGACAUAGGAUCAUAGAAUCAUAGAUGUAGG